rnacentral:lncRNA from 1 species
UCUUAUCUAAUUUAACGGUCAGCGUUCGUUUGUUAACGUUCAAUGGUAAUUUGUGUUGAACGUAUCCAAGGUUCGAACUCCAAAAAUUCCAAACGUUCAAUAAAAUUAUUAGUAUGUUCAAUUCACAUUAUUGUCAUGUUCAAUAAAUUUCCAUUCUCUACUUAUUUGCAGUUAUAUAUAGAAAUUAAACCUGUAUAUAUGUUUUAGCUAUAUUCAUCCAACAUUCCAACGUAAUAAAGUAC